ACCCAAGUAUAAAUAAAUUAAAGACCAAAGUAAAAGAUAGGAAGGGCUGGGGAUUUAGCUCAGUGGCUCUGUGCCUGCCUCGCAAGUGCAAGGUCCUGAGUUUAAUAGGAAAUACAAGAGGCUGACCUUGAACUCCUGGCGAUCCUCCAGCCUCAGCCUCCCAAGUCCUCGGAUCACAGAUACAAAUAAAAAGGGGAAAUCUUCCAGAUUUCCAGUUUUGCAAGGAUCGACACUAGAAAUCGACUGAAAGUUAUUUUUAAUUCACUCACAAGCACUUACCCCAGAUAUGUUUUGAUUCUGUAAACUGAAAGUGAACUUGCACCAAAAUAAAAUCAGCAGAGAAACGCAUUCUGUGUACUCAAUCUGAUUCGGCUCCACGGACAUCUACAGAGCGCAAAACAGGUGAGAAAUGGGGGAAGCUGGGUGCAGUGGUGCAGGCAUGUGAUCCUAGCACUUGGGAGGCUGAGGCAGGAGGAUUACAAAUUUGAGUCCUGCCUGCAUGACACUGUCUCAAAGUAAAAAGGAAUUGAAAGGGCUGGGAUGGAGCUCAGUGCAAAGGUCCUGGGGUCAGUCCGCAGUACUGGGACAAACACACCCAAACGUGUCGGGGGCGGGGUGUCUCCUAGCUAAG
rnacentral:lncRNA from 1 species